AUAUCACACAUCCAUCUCAAAGCCAAAACCAAAAACAAGAUUUCUAAUUUCUUUCUCCCAAACAAAACCAAGUCAAGUCUUCCCUUCGCGAUUCCCUUCUUCGCCACUAAGUAUUGAAAAUCGAAGAUGAACAGAAUGUUAGUGCUCGAGUAUUGAAAAUCGAAGAUGAACAGAAUAUUUCUAACUGAGUAUUGAAGAUCGAAGAUGAACAGAAUGUUAGUGCUCGAUCCGGUACCGAUCGUGUCGGUGUUAGUGUUUGAGUCCUCCUGGUAGAUCUGAAUGAAGUCUCACACGAAGCUUUCGUUUUUUGCUACUACCGCCACCAAACGACUUCGUCCAUUACCUCAUCAGAUCUAGUGAUGAAGAUACAGAGAUCGGGUUAAAGUGUUGUAGAUCUGAUUCGAGAUGCUGUAGAUCUGCCAUGGUUUUCAUUUUCUUUUUCGUUUUUUCUCGAUUCAAGCCAUAAAACUUGGAUUACAUGAUGGUAGCCAACCGUUGGGCAGGAGAGACACCACAUUAAGCGAAGGCCAGAGUUAAGCGACGACCGGUGACCGGUGUUGGGAGGUUUUACCGGCCAGCGGCUCCGACACCUCAAUUUCGCGUGGUCUUCUGAUGGAGAUUGUUCAAUUUGAUUUGAUGAUAUCUUGUAAUGAAAUAUUGUUAAUGUUAAUUUUGUAUUAUUUUAUGAAAUAUAGUAUAAUAUUUGUUAAUAUCAUAUAAAAAAUGUUGUGUAAACUUAAUUGUUUCGCUAUAAAUGUAAUUUAUUUUGUAUUAUUUAUCAAAA